rnacentral:rRNA from 1 species
UACGUAGGGUGCAAGCGUUAAUCGGAAUUACUGGGCGUAAAGCGUGCGCAGGCGGUUAUGUAAGACAGGUGUGAAAUCCCAGGGCUUAACCUCGGAACUGCAUUUGUGACUGCAUAGCUAGAGUACGGUAGAGGGGGAUGGAAUUCCGCGUGUAGCAGUGAAAUGCGUAGAUAUGCGGAGGAACACCGAUGGCGAAGGCAAUCCCCUGGGCCUGCACUGACGCUCAUGCACGAAAGCGUGGGGAGCAAACAGG